CACUGUUCAUGAUCAGGACAAAUCCAGGGCUGUCUGUCACGAAUUGACAUAUUGCCCAUUCCAAGAAGAGCUGGAGAAUAUAGAAGUUUAUUUGAAUGCAAUAGAUGGGCCGCGCUUUGAAAGCUACUCCAAUCAGUUCUUCCUUACAGAUAUUGUGAAACCAGAGAUGAUACCAGUUCACAAGAAAGGUUGUCGUGUCCUGGGAGUAUCCCACAUCCUGGGAUCAGCCGCAUUCCUACUUCCCUUUGACGUUUGAAGUUAAAGCCCUCAGAAUCAAAAACAACUGUAACCAUGAAGUGUGUUCGGACCAGCUCACAUGUAAUCACAAGGUGCCACACAAGGGCUCCUAUCAUUUCUUCACUGAAGAGACAAGCUGGCAGCUCAACCAUGUCACCAAGAAAUACAUUUUCUGUGUAAGAGCAAAAGACAUGUACUGCAACUCUCCCUGGAGUGAAUGGAGUGAAAUGUAUGUAUAAUCCUGGAUUGAAUAUAGCAUUUGCACUGUAUGUACUGUAAAAUAUGAACUUGCGGGAUGAUUAUGGUGUGUGAUGGAUGCUUUGGUUUCCCAUUCACUGUCAAGUAGUAGUUUUCAAGGUAUAAAGCUACAGUUUAUUAUCAGAGCUCUACUUUCCUCUGACCUCUGAGCCAAUCGGCAACAAGCUAUUGAAGUCAGAGGAUGGGGAAACUGUCUCAUACACAUCUCAUAUAUAUUGCAUACCCGAAAUUCAGCAGAUAAUAACCCAUAACAGAAUUGUUUAUAGAAGGGGACGAACCACCACAGGCAUUUUAAACUUCAGAGGACAGAUCUCAUCAACAUGUUAUUUAAAGAUCUGUCUGUGUCGUUUAGAUAUUUGAAUGCAUU